rnacentral:misc_RNA from 1 species
GAGGACCUCGCUUCCAUCUGGGAUGAUUAUCAUUUGGGAAGAGGACAUAUUGGGGUGUCGAUGAAAGCUAAACUAUAUCAUUUAUUGGAACGACGAGCUGCCGAUUGCCGAUACUUUGUUAUUCCUAUGUGGCGUGGAAGUGGUUAUACUACCAUGUUUGUUCAAGUACAAAUGCCGCAUAUCCUUUUCACUGGCCUUGAAGAUUACAAGGCAAGAGGAACUCAAGCAGCUCCCUACUUCACCGUGUCCUAUUACAAAGAAUUUGCAGAGAGCAAGGAUUUGGUGCUUAUUCGAGGUGAUAUUGUGUUUACAAGUAAGCUUACCGACCAAGAGGCAGAAUGGCUUUU